rnacentral:lncRNA from 1 species
GGAACUGCAGUGGCAGACAGCAACUUUUAUUUUCCCCAGCCACCAUAGCCCCACUCAAUAUGACAUUUAGACAGAUGAGCCAGCAAUACAGUAGUUACAUGUGUCUGGGAUUUGUUUUUUAAAUUAUAUGUACCGCUUUUAAUAGCCUGAUUACAGCUGUUCAGUAAGUGAUGCCUCUAGACUGAAGAGGACCGAAAUGAGAAGCAGGCCAGCUAAGAGGGCUGGGAGCAGCACGUUCCCCUUGUUAUUGCCAGCUAGUGGGGAGAGAACAUAUGGCCACUUUACAAAGUUAAGAAUCACAAACAGCAGACAAGAAUGAAUGAUUAAUGCUGGAGUUCCUGGAGUAUGGGCCAAAGAAGUUCCCCCAAAUGACUGUGUUAUAGAUGGUUGACAAUAGGGGAUGAAAAUUGCCCCUACUCUUUGAGAUGACUGGUAUUGAAUGGAGCAGUCUUUGAAAGGCACCAACCCUUCCUAACUGAUGGUGGUCUCUUGAAAGAGGCUCUUCCAAAUUUGUCUUCUGAAAGUGUUGUGGUUGGGGACAGUUCAUAACCCUUUCUAAUAGAGAGGAUGGAUUAGUUUUGACUCACUCUGUGUAAGAAGCUUGGUUGUGGUCCAGCUGGCAAGGUCAUAAAGCAAAGUAAUUACUUGAAAGUAAAAGGAAAAGAUAAAUAUUGUAUCUAGUAUCCUCCCUUGUUAUUUAGGAUUCUGGCUUUCUCUUGGAUUAAAAAAAAAAAAAAACAACUCAUCUUUUUAGGGUCAAGAAAAAAUUUCCAUGGUAUCCCAAUGGAAAAAUCCCACUUAACAGUGAUUGUGGUAUUAAUAGUGGUAUUCUUUAUUUUCUUUGGAACGCCUUUAUCUGAAUCAUAUUAAUUAACUUAGUGCCAGAGUCCCAGAAUCCACAAGGAAUAGUAUGUAAGACAAGUUAAAACAUGUAACUAUGCAA